ensembl:snRNA LOC120103209 U6 spliceosomal RNA
GUGCUUGCUUCAGCAGCACAUAUUCUAAAAUUGGGAUGAUACAGAGAUUAACACGGCCCCUGAAGAAGGAUGACAGGCAAAUUUGAGAAGCCUUCCAUAUUUUU